rnacentral:rRNA from 1 species
UACAGAGGUCCCAAGCGUUGUUCGGAUUUACUGGGCGUAAAGGGUGCGUAGGUGGUCGGGUAAGUCUCAUGUGAAAUCUCCAAGCUUAACUUGGAAAUGGCAUGGGAUACUAUUCGGCUAGAGGAUUGGAGGGGGGACUGGAAUUCCCGGUGUAGCAGUGAAAUGCGUAGAUAUCGGGAGGAACACCAGUGGCGAAGGCGAGUCCCUGGACAAUUCCUGACGCUGAGGCGCGAAAGCGUGGGGAGCAAACAGG